GAAACAAAAAGAUAAUUAGGUGCAAACAAGCUUAAUAGAGGAAGAGGGGUGAGAAUCCCCCACAGCGCAAGCUGCUGUAUAGUGGACGAAAUCACAAAGAUGUCACUGGGAAACUGGGAAGGCGUGAGAGUAGGAUGAAGCUGAGUCAGAAGACUUACCAAUUAAUAUAUAUGAGA
rnacentral:ncRNA from 2 species